CCGAGCCGGAAUUUGUCUCCAAAACAAGUAGGCCUUGGCCGAAAAUCCCAUGAAAAAUCGAACGAAUCGACGAAGCCCGGAUCCAGAAUCAGUUUCAAGUCAUCAACCGAACUCAACAGAUCGGCUCCAAAAUUAUAAUAUUUUUUUUUUGACCAAGAAAAAAAAUGUGUUAAAUUUCAGUUUUGUCGUUGACUAUUUUUUGGUUAAAAUUUAGUUGUUUUUUUUUUCUUUUUUUUUUGUUGAUUGUGGCUCCUGCCUUGUUUUGCUGUAAAAAAAAAAAAAAAAUGCUGCUCAACCAGAAAACUGUGUCGGUUUAGGCCCAUUUAGCGCAUUCGACAAGCCACUCACAGAAAUUGUUUAGUUUUUCUUUAUUUUUUUGGCGAAUGAAUUGUGAAAAUAUUGCCGUUGCUGCCCCACCCUUGCAUAAGAAGUUGCUGUAAACAAUGCUGAUGUUGCUGCAGUUAUUUUCGUUUUGUCAUGAUUUUAUUCGCACGAGGAAUCUAGCACGUUGCAAGUAGUAUUUAAGUAGAAGAAAGUGCCACACACACAUAUAGUCGCGCCACAGGCUAGUGUGUGGCACGAUGCACCUGUCCACUUAACACCUGCCCCGAUACACGCCAUUAAAAAAAUAAGAAAAAUAAUCUGAGAUCUGAACGCUCCCGAACGGCGAUGCAAGGAUCUACACACACUAGACUGGACUGGUGCUUGGAACCAUCUCCAAGGAUCAGUCGCCAUGUAGACUAGAAGGAACCGUCCUCGACCACGAACACGUUCUGAACGCAAAGGCUGGCAUCCACCACCCACUUAUAUCUAUAACCUUGGAUGACAGUCUUUUUUUUUUGUGAUUCCACGCAAUUAGAAGAAAAAUAAGAAGCUUCAAUCAACUCCUCAAAGGACAAAGACACACUCACACACACACAUUGACACACUCCUCGAUAGAAGAACGACUUGUUGGAGACUCGCACACUGCAAGGACUUACUGCACUCUCAACACUGAUGAUAACCUGAUGUAAUUGUACUGGAGAAUCGAUGAAUAAUUCCCUUUCUAUCCCCCCCCACCUUAACGACCGUUUCAAGAAAAUGAUUUAAAAAUGAAAUAAUUUGCUGGGCGAAGAACCACGAGUGCCGGUGGUUAUCGCCAUCGAUAUGGCGACACGGACACGGACACGUCUACUAUAUAAUAUACAAUAUAUAUAGACACACGUAUGAUGCUCUCACUCUUACCUCCUUGAUGAUUAGACGAAUAUCUCAAGGGGGGUUUCUCACACACACGCACUAGCACAUCAUUGAAUCUUUGGCGGAUCCAGAACUCUGGCGAAACCCUUUCUAUUCGGCUCCUCAAGAAGACUCGACCUUUAAGGAUAUAUAUUUUGUACACUAUAUUUUUUGGAGAUUACCUACGAGAAUAAAUGUUUGGAAAAUGUAAAAAA